GUCUACGGCCAUACCACCCUGAACGCGCCUGAUCUCGUCUGAUCUCGGAAGCUAAGCAGGGUCGGGCCUGGUUAGUACUUGGAUGGGAAAAUUAACAUUCUUAAUUUUAAAAAAAGUAAUGUGGCGUUCAAGCCC
rnacentral:rRNA from 1 species